UUGCCAAUUAAAACUGAUUUAAUACGAAGACGGCAUAAGAUAAUCGAACCAGGUAAUAAAACAAUUCACUCUAUGGACCCUAUGGGAGAACAGACAAAUUCCAUCAAAAAAGAAGAAGUGAAAUGGAAUUGUUACUUACAACAAAGAUAUGGUGUUUCAGAAAAGUUUGAAAUAUUAACAUUACCACAUGCCAUACGAGCUGAAGUUUGCUGAAAGUUAUACAAAUGGAGAAGUAUUGGUGCGUGUCUUUCCACAUGAAGAAGUUAAUGCAUACAGAAAGAGAGAUAAAGGAGGUCAGAAGAGUUAGCAGAAUAGUUUGUGUCGCAUUUGUGGAAGUGAAAUUGGUCCAAAAACUAGAAAAAAUCAAAAAAAAAUUAAAUGAGUAAAAUGUGAUAUAUGCAUUUAAAUCGAUGGUACGGUAUGAGAUGCAUUGUUUUUAGAAAUGAAACUUUAUUUUGUUGU